GAUGCUGCAUGUGAUUGUGUGUGUGUGUGUGUGUGUGUGUGUGUAUGUAAGGUCCUACCUGGCUCCGGUGUGUGUGAGUGUCCCGCGUGCAGUAAUCCUGCCACAGCGAGCAGCGCGAGAGCCAACCCGGACAGCAGCAUGCCGGAGUGAGUGUGUGGAGCCUCGUGCCCCACUGCUCGCUCUAAUCCUCCACCUCGCUGCAGUGCUGCCAGGGCACUAGCAAUGCUCCCAAGGAGGGUGAAGACUUGCACAUGCCUCCUCCAACACAGGUGAACCGCUGAUGUAGCAUCAUUGGGUUGCCAGCAUUUAUAGGAAAGCACUGCUUUCCCUGCCCUGAUACUUCAGCUAACAGAUGCCUUUUCUGACCAGCAUUAUGCUAGGAACGAUGUGGGGAGAGAGCGUCAUCUACCCACCCAGAGAGAGUAUGGCAGUAUCGUGCUCUCUCGGAAUCCAGCUGUUGAUGGCGAAACAGUCUCACCACAAAGCCUUGUUAGACUUUUUCAGAUGUUUAACCAAAAGGCUACUGAGAAGAAAUCUUCCCAGAUUUGGACCCUUAAACAGAACUUUACGGCCCAGGAGCUUCACUAGCGCUAAAGAAGCGCCUAAACAGACGCGCUCCAGCUUUCCCUCCUCAAACACGCAUAUAAAACAGAUGCACACACACUGCUGAUGUACCACGAUCCUCAUUGAGCUGACGACAGGCCUUUCCACCAGCUCACUGUAGUACAAACCCACCCCCCCUCUCCCCCACACCACCGAACUGAUGGAGAGCAGGAGAGAGAGCAUGCAGACAAAGAGGCUCAGCCACAGUGAAGCCAGGGAUGCUGUGAAUAGCUUUUAGUACAUGAGAGAGAGAGAGAGAAAUGAGAGAGAGAGAGAGAGAGAGAGAGAGAGAGAGAGAAAUAAGAGAGAAGGAUGUCUGUGUAGUGGCUCUCGACUGCCAUCUUCAGAUCAGCAGCUACAGUUCUGCACUAUAAUUAUACUAUACUAUAAUAACACUAUAAUAACUGACAUAGUAUUGACCUGCUUCUGUCAAAUAAGCAAACAUGUAUUGAAGGAACAAUAUGUAUUAGAUUUUCUGUAACUAACUAAUAAUUAAACGAUCACGAUGUGUCAUAAACAAUUAA
rnacentral:lncRNA from 1 species